GACGAACGCUGGCGGCGUGCUUAACACAUGCAAGUCGAGCGGUAAGGCCCUUCGGGUACACGAGCGGCGAACGGGUGAGUAACACGUGGGCAACCUGCCCUGCACUCUGGGAUAAGCCCGGGAAACUGGGUCUAAUACCGGAUAUGACCUUCUUCCGCAUGGCGGAGGGUGGAAAGUUCCGGCGGUGCAGGAUGGGCCCGCGGCCUACCAGCUUGUUGGUGGGGUAGUGGCCUACCAAGGCGACGACGGGAGCCGGCCUGAGAGGGCGACCGGCCACACUGGGACUGAGACACGGCCCAGACUCCUACGGGAGGCAGCAGUGGGGAAUAUUGCGCAAUGGGCGAAAGCCUGACGCAGCGACGCCGCGUGAGGGAUGACGGCCU
rnacentral:rRNA from 1 species